UCUUUUUAACCAGUGACACGUUUGACAAUUUCGUUAAAUUAUAUUAUCGUUUAUUCAACUCUAAUACAUGUUUAUGAUUAACUUCGCCGAUAAUUUUAUUAUAACUAAUUUUAUUAUAACAAAGUAUUUUGUUAUUAUAAUAAUUGACCAAUAUAUUCGUCGGUUACAUCAUUGUGGGUCAUUCACUACCACCAUCCAGCUUUCAAACUGAAGAUUUUAUUCUGUAAUGGAGGAAUGUUACUCCACACAAUGAUAUCAGUUGUUACUUCAUUAUACAAUGAUUUUUAUACGACGCAUGGAUAACGUAUCGUACCAUAUACUGAAAUUUUGCUGAGAAAGGCUAAAAGAUUAGUCGAAACAUACACAAGACACUCCAAUCAGAGAAAUAUUACAAUCACGUGACACUUUAUGC